UACGGGAGGCAGCAGUAGGGAAUUUUCGUCAAUGGGGGGAACCCUGAACGAGCAAUGCCGCGUGAGUGAGGAAGGUCUUCGGAUCGUAAAGCUCUGUUGUAAGAGAAAAACGGCACUCAUAGGGAAUGAUGAGUGAGUGAUGGUAUCUUACCAGAAAGUCACGGCUAACUACGUGCCAGCAGCCGCGGUAAUACGUAGGUGGCGAGCGUUAUCCGGAAUGAUUGGGCGUAAAGGGUGCGUAGGUGGCAGAUCAAGUCUGGAGUAAAAGGUAUGGGCUCAACCCGUACUGGCUCUGGAAACUGAUCAGCUAGAGAACAGAAGAGGACGGCGGAACUCCAUGUGUAGCGGUAAAAUGCGUAGAUAUAUGGAAGAACACCGGUGGCGAAGGCGGCCGUCUGGUCUGGAUUCUGACACUGAAGCACGAAAGCGUGGGGAGCAAAUAGGAUUAGAUACCCUAGUAGUCCACGCCGUAAACGAUGAGAACUAGGUGUUGGGGGAAUAACUCAGUGCCGCAGUUAACGCAAUAAGUUCUCCGCCUGGGGAGUAUGCACGCAAGUGUGAAACUCAAAGAAAUUUGACGGA
rnacentral:rRNA from 1 species